AUUCGGAGCAACCAGAUGGAUUGCCCUUCAAAAUCAAAUGUGAUUUUGAGAUUAAGAGAUUUCUCCUGUCUGACUCCAUUCAGAACAAGAUGGAGUAUUCACUACUGGGGCUGAAAAGGACUGUCAAGACAAUGGAGGACAGGGAUUUUUUGGUUGAGUUGGUUGGUCAACAAGGCAGCAUCGUGAAGGAUUUUGACCAGUUAAGUGAAAUGGUAUAAACUCUAUUAUAACAUAUAUUAUUAGAUGUUAGAUUGGAUUAAUUAUAUUGUCAUUGACCAAGUACAAGCACAGUACAACUAAAUGUUUCUGUGCUAUAAUGUAUGUUAUCAAAUGACCUCUUAACACAUUAUUGUUCACUAUACAAUGUUUGUAGCAAUUCAUUUUAUUUAAAUGAAUUUAUCUAACUCGUUACAUGUUAAAAUCUGGUCUGAACACCAUCGGGUGGCUUGAGGCCUUGGGGAACCACCCGGACUGCCUCAGGAAUUUUUUUGAACCCCUUAAAGCCUCCCACUCACUGGCCAACCGUGGUUACACCCCACCCGCAUGUGAAGUGGAUCCUUCCCAAGAUUAACGUACCAGCUGACGUCUGACUGUGACAACAGCAUAGAAACACACAAUAAAAAUGUGAACACAAAAUCAUUUUGUGACAGAGGCCAAGCACGGCCCCGACGCCACCCACCGAGGGCAGCCAUCUGGGGCAAGGCGGGGCGUUUGCAGGCGAAUACGCGCCGGAACAGUAGACAUUCACCGUUACAUUAUUGAAAUCGCCUGCAAACGGCCCGUCUCGCUUGCCCCAGAUAGCCGCCGCUUAUGCUCGUAUCCGCUAUGGGGGUUUGUUUUUUGGCGGGGGAGGGCUGUGUUGACAUCUCUUCGUGAACUUAUUUUUUAAUUAACACGAAACCACCAAAAUAAUUGUUCUCACUCAGGGACAAAAUUAUAAUAAUGUUAUAAUAACCGCUAUGCUGGCAGGCAACGUAUUUCUGUGGUGGUGUCAUAUAAAACAAACAACUCAAUGCUAAAAGAUUAAUAGCACAUUUAACAACACAGUGCUAACAUAUAAAACUAAUCUGAAACAUCUCUGCCAACAAUCUCUGCCACCAUCCUCCAAACCAGGGACGUGGCUAGGCAUAUUUUAGGCGGGCUAAACCCCUAAAGUGACACGAAGAGAUUAAUUAGCUCCCCC
ensembl:lncRNA